UCUGGGGGAUGCCAGCAGCUCCUACAUCAUUGGCAGUAUCUCCGAUGCUAUCCAGAAGACCCGUCCAGCCUCCAGCUUUUGGAAGUUUGUGAGCCUGGAACAUGCCUUCCUGCUGUGCCCUUUCGUUGCUGUUGUUAGAGGAGCCUUAUUCCUUUGGACAGCAAAUCAUCUGGAGGAGGAUCGGCUGAAAGCGUCACAGAUCUAUCAAGAUUCAGUGGAAGUGACCCCCAACCCAAGAGGCUAAGACACCAUUGUCAUGCCUACGGUGAGGUGUGGAGUUGAUCGGAGCCGUUCACUGGAUUACGGAGACAGUUCUGUGGCUGGCUGGAACAUCAAGUAAUGAGUUUCUGAAUCGAUAAAAAUGGUGGUAGCAAUUGUAUUUUACACAAGAGAAAAACACUGUUCCUGCAGGGGAUUUUAGAAAUCCUCACUGACAUUGUUCCUCACUCUCAUCGUCCUUGCACGUACAGCAAAUCAAGCGCAUAGCCAAUUUCCUCUGAAAGUUGUUUCCAAUGGUAACAAGGUCUUUUGCUGGUGUAUCAAGAAAAAAGCGCUUUGAACAGAGUACAGUACUAAAUGUUCAGCUGUGGGUAGCACUAAAGCGCUGUUUACUGCAUCCUUGCCUAGAAAGAGCCCUUUUACAAAACCAUCACCUUGAAUGAACAUAAAGAAGGAAAGAGACUCACACAGAGUCUCCCUCAGGGCACGGCCAUAGCACUUUACAGUCAGUGAAUAUCUGGUCACCAUGUAGUCACUGUUAUUCUAUAGGAUAUGUAGCGGCCAAUUUGCACAGGGCCAAGAUCCCCAGAAGUGACAAUGAUAAGCAGGUCAUCUGUUUCAUUAACAUUGGUUCAAGGUUAAAAAUUGGAUAAGAUGCCAGGAAUUACACACCUGCUCUCUGCUCUUGUUUGAAAUAGCGCCAAGAAACCUUUUGUACUCACCUGAGAGGGCAAACUCAGCUUUAAUGUCUCAUCCAGAAUAGAUGGUUAUCUUUGAAACAUGGCCAGCCAACCUUAGCUGAAUCCCCGCCAGACCAAAUACCUCAAAACCACUUCGCCCUCUGCCUUUACCCUCUCCAAGGAUAUGUUCCUGACCCACAGGCACCAUCCACAUGCCCAUGGCUCCCUGAAGUGCCCACUCUUCUCCAUGUCCAGGGACAGGGCACUCAGUAGUUGUGUCUUGCUUCCUAAUGAACCAACCUCUACCACUGCCUUAAAGUCAAGCACUGACAUUUUUCAGUGGUGCACCAUAGUCACAGGCAGCAAGCCAUUUCUGAAGAAAGGUCCCGACCCAAAACGUCAACUUUCUUGCUGCUCUGAUGCUGCCUGGCCUGCUGUGUUCCUCCAGCUCCACACUGUGUUAUCUCUGACUCCAGCAUCUGCAGUUCUUGCUAUCUCCAAGCCCACUUGGGUUUUUAUUUUCAGUUCUCUCUGGUUCAAGGAAAGCGCCAAGAAGACUUCAAUUGUCUUCUACCUGUUCCUCAAUGGAUCAGUGAAAUCAGUCUACAGGGAAUGGAUUGAUCCACUGAACCAAUAUGCUUUCAUUAUGACCUCAGUAUGUUAAAAUGUAAGACUUUACAUCAUUCUGGGCUUUCGCCUUAGGGUUUGUUGCUAUAUUUUGUUUGUCCAGUUAGGUCCUCUAUCCCAUUCGAAUACAUGUUGCUGCCACUUUAUUAUUCAGAUAAUUAUUUAAAUCUCCAUCCAAUGCUGCUGCCACUAUUUUAAGGAACAAUGUUGUGAAUGCAUAUCCAGACAAAGAAAAGGUGAAAUCCAGGAUUAAACUAAUCAGGAAUGCAAUUUAGAAGCACUUGUAAAAGUAGGAACGUAGGCAGCACAAUAAAUUCAAAUGUGAGUUUGAAUCCAGCUUUCAAUACCGGAUGUGCUAGGAAGUGAGUUUUGUUGAUUGUAGACAAAUCUAUAUUGGGCAGACAUCAAAAACUGUUUUGAUUCGUUGUCACUCAGCAACGUUUCCUCAUCUGGGUCAGUCCAGAACAAGAGGACACUGUUUUAAAAUUAGGAGUCAUCCUUUUAGAACAAAGAUAAGACUUUUUUCUCACAGAGUGUUGUGCAACUUCAGAAGUAGCUCAUUAAACAUUUUUAAGAUAGAUAGAUUCUUGUUAAGCAAAGAAAUCAAAGGUGAGGGGCUGGGGUGGAUGGAAAUUGUAGAAUCCCUGCAGUGUGGAAGCAGGCCAUUCAGCCCAUUGAGUCCACAUGCUCUCUGAAGAGCAUCCCACCCAGACCUACUCCAUACCCUUUCCCUGCAUUUCCCAUAGCUAAUUCAUCUUGCCUGGGCACUAUAGGGCUAUAAAAUCCACCUAACCUGCACAUCUUUGGCCUGUGAGAGGAAAGUGAAUUGACCGGAGGAAACUUGCACAGAGACUGGGAGAAUGUGCAAACUCCACACAGACAGCCGCCCAAGCCUGGAAUUGAACCCUGGUCCCUGGGGCUAUGAGGCAGCAGGCCAUGUAUGGGAAACGGGAAAUUCAAAACAUAAAUGAUCUUAUUGAAUUCAAGGACAGAGUGGUCUACUUCUGCUCCCUCACAUGUUCCUAAUAAAUUGACACCUUCACUGAGUGAAGUUGAUGUGAAGAUUAGAAAUAUGGGAAGAGUGGGGACAAAGUCUUGUAGUCUGAGAAUGGAGUAGAGAUGAUAUAACGGCAGAAGAAGAGUGGAUUAUUUUCUGUAUCUGCUAAACCUGAUUUUGGGAGUGUUAAUAUGGAAUAUCAAAAACAUUAAAAUAUAUUUGCCACCUCUAAUAGCGAUAUCACUCAUUUUAAUGUCUGUAGAUGUGCACCAGAAAAGAGAAUUAUUGAAACAAAAUAAAACACAAAAGUUCUUUAUUGUUUCCAAUGAGCAUUGGCUGUUCUAUCGAACUAGUCUAUACCAGUGAUUCUGCACCAUACCAACAUCCUCUCAAUCUGCUCCAUCUCACCCUUUCAACAAAUCAAAUAUGAUAAAUACUUUGCAGCAGUGUAAAUGUUUCGUGAUCUGCUGCAACAUGUCAUGUAAUCCCAAGGAUGCAGGAAAUCACCUCGGAACAGUCUUGUGUUUGAAAAUCUUCACUUGUAGUUCAGGAGCAGCGGAGCAAGCUGCUGAUAGCCCUGUACAGCCACAAGGUACAUUGACUGUAUAACAUUUGUAUCCGAAUGUGCACCUUUCUGAGGUGUGUAUGUGAGUUUACACUUGAGUACACAAAGAUUUCUUAAGAUUGAUGUUUGAAUUAAUGGUUAUACAUACGUGUAUGAAAUAUUGGUGUGAAUGUACAUUUUAAUAUACUUACAUUAUAUAUAUGUGAGUUAUUUUUGUAUAUCGAUGUUUGUAUAUGGAAGUACACAUAUGAAUAAUGGAUACAUAAAAAACUCAAAGUAAAGGUAUUAAAUUGGAAAUAAAUCCCUCUUUAACAA